CUGUACGAGAGGACCUUCUGAA
rnacentral:miRNA from 1 species